rnacentral:lncRNA from 1 species
CUUACAUUCAUUUUAUUUGAGUUCCUUCUUCAGGAAAGAACCCCCAGACCUCUCAAAAAGUAUCAAAGAACUGAAACUCACCAGGUAACCACCUCCAGACAAUGAGACCAGACCCCUUAUUCAUUCUGAUUGCUUCUUUCCCUUUCUGAGUUCCUGUUGUCCUAUACACGGUUACGUUUCUUCCUUGCUAGAUAAACCCCUAGUUUUAGUCAGUCAGGGAGAUGGAUUUGAGACAGAGCUCCCCUCUCCUCGGCUGCAACACCCAGUUACAGCUUUCUUCCUCAGCAAUACUUGUCAUCUCAGUGAUUGGCUUUCUGUGCAGAGAGCCGCAGGAUCUAGAUGUUUCCGUAACAGAUAUAUGGGGCACGGAGGAUUCUUAGGGCAGUGUUUCCGUAACAGAUAUAUGGGGCACGGAGGAUUCUUAGGGCAGUGAAACAAUUCUGUAUGAUGCAAAAACGGUGGGGACAAGUCAUUAUACAUUUGUCCAAACCCACAGAAUGUACGACACCAGGAGUGAAUUCCAUUCAAUUCCACUUAAUUUUUCUGGAAACCCAAAACUGCUUUUUUUUUUUUUUUUUUUUUUUUUUUUUUUGGAGACAGAGUCUCACUCUGUCACCCAGGCUGGAGUACAGUGGCACGAUCUUGGCUCACUGCUGCAACCUCUGACUUCCAGGUUCAGGUGAUUCUCCUGCUUCCACCACCAGAGUCCUGCCUCCACCACCAGAGUAGCUGGGAUUACAGGUAUGCGUCUCCACGCCCGGCUAAUUUUUCUGUUUUAGUAGAGAUGAGAUUUCACCAUGUUGGCCAGGCUGGUCUCGAACUCCUGGCCUCAAGUAUUUUGCCCGUCUCAGCCUUCCAAAGUGCUGGGAUUACAGGCAUGAGCCACCACGCCCCGCCAUCAAAAUUGCUUUUUAAAAGUGUGUUAAAUUCAAAAAAAGAAGCUAGAGGAAAGAGGGCAGAGGGUGGCAUUCAGGCAGCAGAAGGGCUGUCCUCAUGGUCCUUGUGGUGAGGGGAUGACCUCCUGCUGAAGGCCAGUCCACUGAGCUGGCACCCACAGAGGGGGACCUGGACUGUUUGCAGCUGAACAGCCUGUAGCCAGGGCUAUCAGAAGGCAGGGAGACCUGGAGUGCAUUGACAGUCACCACACAGGUUUCCAGGAACCUUCCCUCCCUUCCCUGAGUCAGCAUUCAUGCAUACAUUCCUUCCCUUAUUCAUUCAAAAUGUUUCUGGCCAGCCUACCAGGCACCCAGCACAUCAGACCUCUGAUCAUUUGCUCAUAGACUCAUUCAUUCAUUCACUUAAUCACUGUCUCUGUCUAGGCAGAAAGCAAACAUCUAGUCCUGCCAGCCCUAGACAGAAUGAUUUCAAACCCUAAUUAGUACUGUGGGGCUUAAUGAGGUUUCCUGGGAUUCUCAUUAUCAGGGAAAUCAUUUCACAAAAGCUGUCCAUGAUACAGUGGGCAGGGGCACCUCAUGCCAGUAAGGAGCCUCUUCCUGAGAUGAGCAACCGAGGAAACACCAAUUAAGCAAGGAAGCUGUGGAAGGGGAUGCCCCGGGCUUCCCAGAGUGCAGAGCAUGGAUGCUUAGCUGAGGGGUGGGGCUGGAACCUGGCUGCCAAAGCAGUUCUGCCAGCAGGAGCAGGGAUGGCCAGGCAGCAGCACAGGUCACUGCCCCGCAUGGUCAACAUGCAUUGCGGAUUUUAGCUUGCGUUUACGGAUGGCUUCUAGCUACAAAAGACACAGUGGCGCUCAGUUGCUCACCUGUGUAUUUUAAGUAACUAAUUCCUAUUCACACACUCAUUCAUUUAGCCAUUCAUGCAGGUUUCAGAUGUUUAAUGAGCAUCUACUAUGUGCCAAGCAGCUUCAUAAUAAACACACACUUAUUCAUAAAUCCAUGCAUCUGUAGACUUCAGAUGUUCAAAUGUUCAUAGAUGGCUUGGGGCUUGCAGGGACAGAUCUUCCAGUGUCACCAGGAGCCUCUGGGAUAGGCGGGAAACGCUUCCUACAGGGGGUGGGGCGGGGGGCGCAUUUGAGCUCCAUGUGGGGAAGGCCCAGGGCAACUCUAAGCUGAGUGCAGAGUCCCAGGUCCCGAAAAUAGUGAGGCUUCCAGGUCACGAGGUUACACCAGCAUCCAUGACGUCAGCAGGCCAGCGGCGGGCCCUUAGCCAUGGAGGUUCAGAUCGUGUGGGUUGUGGGUCCCACGGUCCCAGAGUCAGCCGGGCGCCCAUUGGCUUGGCCUCAGGAUGCCCAGGGACAUGCCUGGUGCAGCUGGGGCAGCAGGAGCUCACUCUACCAUGAAAUAUUCAUGGCUGCUGGCAAAGCCCGGCCCUAAAAUAUAGUUUGCAGAAGAAAAAGAGCCAUCAGGCAUUUAAUCAUUGUGUUAAUGAGGCUCUAUUUGGAAGCAAACUCCAUCUGACUGCGUCCUAGACAGCAAGAGUCAGGGCCCGGCCAACCUGUGUUGCCGGCCGCAGGGGCAGCCUCAUCCCUGAGACACCAGUGGGAGACACGCCCGGGCAAGGCACAGGCUUGGCUCGAGGCCAUGGCCAGCGGCCCUCCACUUCAGGGGAGCCCAUGAGAUUAUAACGGCAUCCUGAGGUUUGCCAAAAAGCAUCCUUUUAAGCAGAAAGCAAGCAACGGCCCUGCAUGGAGGCGCCACAGAUCCAGUCUGGCUGAGCAGGGGCUAGACCAACUCGUUUUCCCUAAGCAGCUUCCUCGGGGGAACCACUACCCCUCCUGCCUCCAGCUCCCCCUGCUGCCCAGGCCGCCGCCACAGACACUGCAAAUUACCAUCCAGACAAGAUUGCCGGGCCCUUUACAAAGCCUGAAGCAGCUCCUGCAGCCGCCGUCAGCGUCAGCAGCCGCCCUUCUUCGCCAGGUGUGCUGAUUGCAAGUCUCUCUGUGCGGCAGGAGGGGACGUCUCCAAAGGGCAGGCGUCCAGUGGCAGCACCGCAGGCCUGUGGGUGUUCCACCUGCAGAGGCCCCAGAGCAGCCCACGGAGGGCCACGGUGGUAUUAUUCCCAUUUCACAGGGAAGAAGCAAGGUCAGAGCUCUUCCCAGAUGGCUCAGUGAGUACAUCAUAGGGACAUGCCCCAGGCCACCAGGCCCCACGGCCUCCAGGGUCCUGGCAAGUCCCCCCAGGGACGGUGGGUGGAGAGGAGGGGUUGCUGGCAAAAAUCAGGGCCCCUGGGGAGCAAUCCUCUCCUGUGGGCUACAGGUCUUCAUCAGGGAUGGACUCAGUGGGUCCCAGGCUCCCUUCUCCAGCUCUGCCAAAUUCCAUCCCACCCGGGAGAUGUGGGGUCCGAGCAAAGGGACCCUUCUCCUCUGUGAACUUAGAGGUCCAUAAAGGACAACGGUCCAGGGCAGCGAGGCACGUCGGGGUGGACAGUGACGAGGGAGCCGCGGCCCAGCCAUCCUGCUGUGGGGGAGACGCCCCAAGGGAUGCACAGUGAGGCCUGGGCAGUGGGAGCUCCAGAAGCUACAGAGCAGGAGCCAUGGCUGCAUGUCCAGAGCCAGGCUUUCCAUUCCCACGCUGCCCACGAUGACGGAGCGGAGGACACAGAGGGAGGAGAAAACGCCCCCUGAGAAGGGGGACAGGGACGACAGAGCCUUGGAGGGAGUUCGGACAGGAGGGAGUGCCCACUGAGCGCAUUUCCUGAAACUUCCAGCUCCCCCUCCCCCGAGUCUUUCCCAGGGCCAAGGCCAUCCCUGGUCACGGAGCCCGCACCGCCUCCUCCCUGCAGCGCCAGGCCCAUGCUGCCCGCCCUUACCCGCUCCUCCCGUCCGGCGCUUGAGAGACGUGGUGUCUGGAAAGUCUGUCCCAUCCCAGGUGAGUCACAGCGAAGGGGCCAUGUUGGUGGGAGGCAGGGGAUCUGGGGAAAGUGGUACUGCCCCAGGAGGGGCUGCUGGGAGGGGAGGCAGGGGCGAGGCCCUGUGCAGAGGCUUCUCCCACCAGGGGAGUCCCAGAAGGGCACAGCCACGCCCUCCGAUGCCACGCCUGCGCCCACAGAAGCCCCGCCUUCCUCCCAGCUGCAGCUUCCACAACACCCACUGAGACCCACGCCAACGCGCCCCGCCCACGAGAACCCAGGUCACUCCCGCUUGGUGACUGCGGAAGAACUUUCCGGGUGUCACGUUGGUCCAGUCCCAGGCUGUCCUUCUCUCAACUAAGUUUCCAUCUGGAUUCCAGCCCACCCCCAUGCACGGGACGCAGGAGCUCUGGGUGCCCACCACUCCAUGAAGGGUGAUUGUGGUGAUGUAUUUGACCUUCUGGCAGCAAUUUAAUCAAAUCUGGAAAUCUGGGCCGGCACCUGGUUCGGGACUCAUCCCCUGUUGCUAGGAAACCCAACUCCUGCGGAUCCCACCCUGCUCCAUCCGGAGACAGUGGGAGAGACCCUCCUGCAGCUGAGGCCAGGGCUGGGGAAUGGCUGGAGAUGGAUGGGGACAGCAGUGGCCUUUGCACUGGCUGACUUCACAGCAGAACUCCCACGAGUGCCGAGAAACAGCGUGUAGGGGCGCUGCUCUCCCUACAAGCCCUUCCAGGCGCUGCAGGUCACUUAGAAGCUUGUGGCGCAUCCCUCGGUACCUCUCUCUGCCUGCGCACCAUAAACACCCAGACUACAGGGCCAUACCUGUCUCUUCUUGGUCUCCCCAGCAUCCUGCAGAUUAGUGGCCCUUCAGACACUUUGCACCCCAGUAGGGGGUGGGGAGGCUGGUGGAAAGUGAGCCCUGUGGCUCCUGGAGAAGCGGCGAGCAGCAGGCAGUGUUACACAAGGGUCCUCCCAACCCAGCUGACCUCACCAGGUCAUUCAUGCAAGAAUGCGGGGCCAAUGGGUUUCUGCCAGGCGUGCCAGGGCUGAGGGCACCCCUGGGUCCUCACAGCCCCCACUGUCCAGGGACAGCAGAGUCCUCCUUCCCUUUGCCAUUUCCAUGUUUCUCAUUUCAAUAAUUCUUGCAGCCCAUGUUGUGUAAAUAAAAUUAUUCUUCCCAAAAAAAUCGUUAGCAGAGCCCGACAUUAAUUCCCCUGCAAUCUGUGUAAUUAACUGCAUGUAAUAUAGGGCAUUAAAGGACCGGUUUGCUAAUCACCACUCCUCCGCUCCACGCACCUAAUUAAAUCUCCUUCCUGUUUAUCCACUUACAGGAUCCUCUGCAAAGAUACCAGGCACCAGGAACACUGUUGUAAUAAAUCUUUGCGUAAUUUUAGAGGGUGCAGUCCCACUCUGUUUCAUUCCCACUGCUGAGCCCCUCCUCCCUGCAGCCACGUCUCCCCAUGACUCGGC